rnacentral:tRNA from 1 species
GCGCUGGUAGUGCAAGGCGUAGCAUUGCUGCCCCGGAAGCAGAAGGUGCUGGUUCGAGUUCCGCCUGGCGCG